AAAAUUUAAAAUUAAAAUACUAAAAUAGUAAAUAAAUAUUUAUUAAAACUUAAAUAAUUUGGCGGUAUUUUAGUUCAUUUAGAGGAAUCUGUUUAAUAAUUGAUAUUCCACGAAUAAAUUUACUUAAUUUAUUAUUUUGUAUAUCGUUGUUAAAAAAAUAUUUUUUAAUAAUAAUUAAUAUUUAAAAAUUAAAAUAUAAUAAAUUUAAAUCAGAUCAAGAUGCAGAUUAUAAUUAAGAAUAUAAUGGAUUACAAUAAAUUUAUUUAAAUGAAUAUUAAUUUGUAAAAAUUAAUUGAAAGUGGAUUUAAAUGUAAUUUUAUUUAAUUUAAUAAAAUGAUUAAAAAUUAAAAUAUGU
rnacentral:rRNA from 1 species